rnacentral:sRNA from 2 species
AACGACCACUGCCCAUCAUCACUUCCCAUACAAAUUGUCAAAACUAUCAACCCCAUAUAUCAAUCAUUUUUAAUUAUAUUUAAUCUUUUAUUGGUAAUUUAUAAUCUGCUAUCAAAUUUAACUAUUAUAAAAAAUCGAGAAUAUAAAAAAGUACAUUAAUCAUUGUAUAUGACAUGGAAAAGUUCUAAAUAUUUCUUCAUAUAAAGUUAUGUGAGAUAUAUUUGAAUUCCUAGCUGUAUUUUUCACCUUUCUAUGUAUGAUAAGAUGGCUUGAGAGCAGUGAAAAUGACACACUGCAGCACAGAAGCUCUUCUAUUUUAUAUUGUUUUCAUUUGGAUUUCUGUUUUGUGAGUUUUGAUAUAAUCAUUCCAUGAGCCAGGGAGAACAAGCAAACUGGAGCUGCAGUGCAAUUUGUUUGAAUAACAUGAUAUUUUGUGGUUAUUCUGACUCAACCCUCUUCUGAAAUGCUGGUUGUUGAAAAUGAAUCCAUUCUGCUCCUCUUGUAGAGAAGCAGAUUCUCCCGUUUUCUAGAAAAGAGUGGAUUGGACUUGAUUGACCAUGUCUUUGGGUAUUUCUGCAAAGAAGCAAGGCCUAGCUGAAAAUGAGAU